rnacentral:rRNA from 1 species
CAUGGUAUAUCAGUUUGUUCUGUGGCUGAAGAUGCCUUCAGAGGAUAUGAAAUUGUUCUCCGCUAUCGUAGUUGCCAUUUUCCUGGCAAUUCCUUACUUGAAGGAGAAGAGAACACUUCGGAAAGGAGCGUCAAAGUAAUGGCUUACGCAUUGGAGAUACAGGAUAUACAUAAAGUAUUUAACAGAGGAACCAUCAAUGAAAAGGUGGCAUUAAAUGGGGCACAUUUAAAUUUAAAUCCCGGGGAUUUCGUGACCAUCAUCGGAGGUAACGGCGCCGGUAUCCUUUUCCUGCCAGACGAACGGUUUUGCCUUCAUCAAUUCCUGCCGGGAUGUGCACUGCGAGUGUCUGCGGCUGUCUGCCGGAUGGAUCAGAAAUCGUAAUCUGCUUAUCACAUCCAAAGGCAGCAUCAUCAAACGAAAUGGUGAUCUCGGCACGCAAAUCCUCUCCUUUUCUUGCGCGAUUGCCAUAGCCUCUUGUUCCACCACCGAAACCGCUGGUGCGACCACCGUGAAAGGCUCCACCAAAAAGGUCGUCAAAAAUAUCGCCCAUGUCGCCCAUAUCGCCACCUUCAAAAUGGAAUUCCAUGCCAUCGCCAUUCCGAUAAAAGCCUUUUCCGCCGAAUCCCUGUCCAGAGAAUCCUCACGGCCGAAUAUCUAAGGUUUCCAGGGUAAAGCUGAUCUGCCCUGGGUUAGUCGGGGCCUAAGGCGAGGUCGAAAGACGUAGUCGAUGGAUAACAGGUUGAUAUUCCUGUACUACAAUAUAUCAGAACUGUGGGGACACAGACAGAAAGCCAGAGCCGGGAAUGGAAAGACCGGUACAAGCGAGGUAGGAGUAAGGCAGGCAAAUCCGCCUUACAAUCUGAAGACGUGAUGUGUAGCGAAGUUAUAAGUAGCGAAGCUGGUGAGCUGGCUGUCAGGAAAAGCCGCUAUUGUGUAUAUUGUACCCGUACCGUAAACCGACACAGGUGGAUGAGGAGAGAAUCCUAAGGCCGACGGGAGAAGCAUUGUUAAGGAACUCGGCAAAAUGACUCCGUAACUUCGGGAGAAGGAGUGCCAGUAAGAUGGCCGCAGAGAAUUGGCCCAAGCAACUGUUUAGCAAAAACACAGGUCUAUGCAAAACCGAAAGGUGAGGUAUAUGGGCUGACGCCUGCCCGGUGCUGGAAGGUUAAGAGGAGAGGUUAGCGCAAGCGAAGCUUUGAAUUUAAGCCCCAGUAAACGGCGGCCGUAACUAUAACGGUCCUAAGGUAGCGAAAUUCCUUGUCGGGUAAGUUCCGACCCGCACGAAAGGCGUAAUGAUUUGAGCGCUGUCUCGACAAUGCACCCGGUGAAAUUGAAAUACCAGUGAAGAUGCUGGUUACCUGCGCCAGGACGGAAAGACCCCAUGGAGCUUUACUCCAGCUUGAUACUGGGAUUCGGUAUUGCAUGUACAGGAUAGGUGGGAGGCUAGGAAAUGGUAACGCCAGUUGCCAUGGAGCCACUGUUGGGAUACCACCCUUGCAGUACUGGGUUUCUAACCAGCAGCCGUGAUCCGGCUGGGGGACAAUGUCAGGCGGGGAGUUUGACUGGGGCGGUCGCCUCCGAAAGGGUAUCGGAGGCGCUCAAAGGUUCCCUCAGAAUGGUUGGAAACCAUUCGAAGAGUGCAAAGGCAGAAGGGAGCUUGACUGCGACACCGACGGGUGGAGCAGGUACGAAAGUAGGACUUAGUGAUCCGGUGGUAU